rnacentral:rRNA from 1 species
AUGCUAAUACCCAAUCCUGACACAGGGAGGUAGUGACAAGAAAUAACAAUACAGGGCUAAUGUCUUGUAAUUGGAAUGAUGGUGACCCAAACCCUCACCAGAGUAGCAAUUGGAGGGCAAGUCUGGUGCCAGCAGCCGCGGUAAUUCCAGCUCCAAUAGCGUAUAUUAAACUUGUUGCAGUUAAAAGGCUCGUAGUUGAAUUUUAGCGUGUUCGAGUUUGCCAUUCGUUUGGCUUUUUCGAGUUCGCUUUUGGGUUUUCCCUUUUUACUUUGAGAAAAUUAGAGUGUUUCAAGCAGACUUUUUCUUGAAUACUUCAGCAUGGAAUAAUAGAGUAGGACUUUGGUUCUAUUUUGUUGGUU